rnacentral:rRNA from 1 species
GAUGAACGCUAGCGGCAGGCUUAACACAUGCAAGUCGAGGGGUAUAACACUUCGGUGUUAGAGACCGGCGCACGGGUGCGUAACGCGUAUGUAAUCUACCUUUUACAGAGGGAUAGCCCAGAGAAAUUUGGAUUAAUACCUCAUGGUAUUAUGGAUAGGCAUCUAUUUAUAAUUAAAGAUUUAUCGGUAAAAGAUGAGCAUGCGUCCCAUUAGCUAGUUGGUAUGGUAACGGCAUACCAAGGCGACGCUGGGUAGGGGUCCUGAGAGGGGGAUCCCCCACACUGGUACUGAGACACGGACCAGACUCCUACGGGAGGCAGCAGUGAGGAAUAUUGGACAAUGGGCGCAAGCCUGAUCCAGCCAUGCCGCGUGCAGGAUGACUGCCCUAUGGGUUGUAAACUGCUUUUGUACAGGAAGAAACCCUUCUACGAGUAGAAGAUUGACGGUACUGUAAGAAUAAGGAUCGGCUAACUCCGUGCCAGCCGCCGCAGUAA